AAUUAGUAAUCAAAUUGCUAAUCGAUCCUCCUGCAACACUUGCACUGGGUUAAAUGUCAAUCGUAUUGAUCAUUUAACCCUAGAACGAUUCUUAAUCGUUGAUCAACCAUCUGAUUGGAUCAUGAACUCUAAUGUGUGUGAUCUCAUAGGUCCGAACCUAAGUCGGUAGCACAAGAAUAAAUUUUUAUACCAAUCGAAGUGACCAUCUAGCAAUGGUACCCGACGAUCGGAUAG
rnacentral:lncRNA from 1 species